UACGGGGGGAGCAAGCGUUGUUCGGAUUUACUGGGCGUAAAGGGCGCGUAGGCGGCCACCGCAAGUCGACUGUGAAAUCUCCGGGCUUAACCCGGAAAGGUCAGCCGAUACUGCGGGGCUAGAGGUGCAGAAGGGGCAACUGGAAUUCUCGGUGUAGCGGUGAAAUGCGUAGAUAUCGAGAGGAACACCUGCGGCGAAGGCGGGUUGCUGGGCUGACACUGACGCUGAUGCGCGAAAGCUAGGGGAGCGAAGCGGG
rnacentral:rRNA from 1 species